AGACGCUUACCAAACUGUAAAAUCUCCGCUGAGAACAUUAACUUUGGCAUAUAGUAGAACACAGAGAUUACAUCUUGCUAUAAGCAAGGAGAUGUCCGUGCAAACCGGGCUGUGCCACCUUGAAAGAUAAAAAUUUAACAAAAACCAAAAUGUCCUAUAGAAACAGGAACUAGUCCGUGCAAUUCGGUCUAAUCUUAUACCAAUCAGCUAGCCCACCCCUAAAAAUCAAACAAUCACCAUGCAUACCCCCUAAUAUACUGACUCUUUACAAAUUGAACAAACCAUUUUUCCCCUUUAGUAUGGGCGACAGAAAAAGGCCUAAGGCGCUAUAGAAAAAGUACCGUAAGGGAACGCUGAAAGAGAAAUGAAACAGCCCAGUAAAGUUCUAAUAACAAAGUUAACUACCUCUCUUUUUUUUGUGAGAGAGAGGAAAA
rnacentral:rRNA from 1 species